UUAAUUUGACUCAACACGGGAAAACUUACCAGGUCCGGACAUAGUGAGGAUUGACAGAUUGAGAGCUCUUUCUUGAUUCUAUGGUUGGUGGUGCAUGGCCGUUCUUAGUUGGUGGAGUGAUUUGUCUGGUUAAUUCCGUUAACGAGCGAGACCUGGGCGUGCUAACUAGGGGCCGCUACCAUUGUGUAGCUGUUCGCCCCUUCUUAGACGGACUGCGGGCGUCUAGUCCGCGGAAGCUCCAGGCAAUAACAGGUCUGAGAUGCCCUUAGAUGUUCUGGGCCGCACGCGCGCUACACUGAGCGGACCAACGGGUGAGGAUGCGCGAAAGCGUUUCCCAAUCCCCAAAUCCGCUCGUGCUGGGGAUAGAGGCUUGCAAUUUUCCCUCUUGAACGAGGAAUACCUUGUAAGCGUGGGUCAUCAGCCCGCGCUGAAUACGUCCCUGCCCUUUGUACACACCGCCCGUCGCUCCUACCGAUUGAGUGAUCCGGUGAGGCUUUGGGACUGCCGCGGUUGAGGCGUUUACGCCCUGGCCGCAGUGGGAACUUAUCCGAACCUUAUCACUUAGAGGGAAGGAGAAGUCGUAACAAGGUUUCCGUAGGUGAACCUGCGGAAGGAUCAUUCAU
rnacentral:rRNA from 1 species